rnacentral:rRNA from 1 species
AACCCUUCGGGGUUAGUGGCGCACGGGUGCGUAACGCGUGGGAAUCUGCCCUUUGCUUCGGAAUAACAGUUAGAAAUGACUGCUAAUACCGGAUGAUGUCUUCGGACCAAAGAUUUAUCGGCAAGGGAUGAGCCCGCGUAGGAUUAGGUAGUUGGUGGGGUAAAGGCCUACCAAGCCGACGAUCCUUAGCUGGUCUGAGAGGAUGAUCAGCCACACUGGGACUGAGACACGGCCCAGACUCCUACGGGAGGCAGCAGUGGGGAAUAUUGGACAAUGGGCGCAAGCCUGAUCCAGCAAUGCCGCGUGAGUGAUGAAGGCCUUCGGGUCGUAAAGCUCUUUUACCAGGGAUGAUAAUGACAGUACCUGGAGAAUAAGCUCCGGCUAACUCCGUGCCAGCAGCCGCGGUAAUACGGAGGGAGCUAGCGUUGUUCGGAAUUACUGGGCGUAAAGCGCACGUAGGCGGCG